GACAGAGGGGGCAAGCGUUGUCCGGAGUUACUGGGCGUAAAGCGCACGCAGGCGGCUGGGCGCGUGUGGGGUGAAAGCCGCGAGCUUAACUCGCGGUCGCCCCCGCAUACGGCUCAGCUCGAGCCCGGGAGAGGUCCCUCGAAUUGCCGGUGUAGUGGUGAAAUGCGUAGAGAUCGGCAGGAAGACCAAGGGGGAAGCCAGGGGACUGGCCCGCGGCUGACGCUCAGGUGCGAGAGCGUGGGGAGCGAACCGG
rnacentral:rRNA from 1 species